AGCCACAGCCAUAUCACCCUGCAGCCCAAGACCGGUUACUCUGAAGCCAAGCAGGGCUGUGCCUGGUCAGUACCUGGAUGUGAGACCACAUGGGAAAACUAGGUUGCUGUUGGAA
rnacentral:rRNA from 1 species